AUUUUACAUUCAAAUAUGACUACCAGUCAAUACAACAAUACUGUCAUCAUAAAUAAUCCUGACAUCUCCUCAAUAAAGGUCCGGUCUUCUUGUCAUAAUUAACCUUGUGGUAGGUAAGUCGUCAUUAAUGUUGUAUUGACUUAUUUAUUUAUUUAUUUACAGUUCACAAAGCUUGAUCUGUCUCCUGAAAGAAAUCAAUCCUCCCUGUCAUCACGGUUGGUCAUGCACAUAUAGGAUAGACAAUGAUCAUGUUUGUUCAGUGGGAUAGACCUUUCCCCUUAUGAGUGAAUUUUUUUAUAUAUAGACAAGCCUGGACAAAAAUUUCAUCACAGCUUGAAACACAAAAUUAGUAAUAUUCUGAAGUUUCAUUGCGAAAUGUUGUAAAAUGCGGAUAAUAUAGCCUUACGAAG